GUUGAAACACUGAUUCUCGUACGAUCACCGAAGUCAAGCAACGUCGAGCCUGGUCAGUACCUAGAUGGGUGACCGCUUGGGAAUAUCAGGUGCUGUAG